GAGGAAAUAGCUCAGUGGUAGAGUGCAUGCCUAGCAUGCAUGAGGUACUGGGUUCAAUCCCAAGUACCUCC
rnacentral:tRNA from 1 species